UACAGAGGCCUCGAGCGUUAGGCGGAAUCACUGGGCUUAAAGCGCGUGUAGGCGGAUUCCUAAGUGUCUUGUGAAAUCCCACGGCUCAACCGUGGAACCGCUGGGCAUACUGGGAAUCUUGGGCCACUCAGGGGCAACCGGAACAAGCGGUGGAGCGGUGAAAUGCGUAGAUAUCGCGUGGAACGCCAAAGGUGAAGACAGGUUGCUGGGGGUGUGCCGACGCUGAGACGCGAAAGCCAGGGGAGCGAACGGG
rnacentral:rRNA from 1 species